rnacentral:rRNA from 1 species
CCUACGGGAGGCAGCAGUGAGGAAUAUUGGUCAAUGGCCGGAAGGCUGAACCAGCCAAGCCGCGUGAAGGACGAAGGUGCCAAGCAUUGUAAACUUCUUUUGUCAAGGGACAAAAUCAGGCUCGAGAGCCUGACCGAGGGUACUUGAAGAAAAAGCAUCGGCUAACUCCGUGCCAGCAGCCGCGGUAAUACGGAGGAUGCGAGCGUUAUCCGGUUUUAUUGGGUUUAAAGGGUGCGUAGGCGGACUGUUAAGUCUGCGGUAAAAGCCCGGGGCUCAACCCCGGCGAGCCGUUGAAACUGGCGGUCUUGAGAUGUCGAGAGGUAUGCGGAAUGCGCAGUGUAGCGGUGAAAUGCUUAGAUAUUGCGCAGAACUCCGAUUGCGAAGGCAGCAUACCGGCGGCGAUCUGACGCUGAGGCACGAAAGCGUGGGUAUCGAACAGGAUUAGAUACCCGAGUAGUC